rnacentral:antisense_RNA from 1 species
GUAGGAGCCGGCUUGCUGGCGAUUCAGACGACGCGGUGUAUCAGGUACACCGCGUUAUCGUUCAUCGCCAGCAAGCCGGCUCCUAC